GAUUCCCUCAGUAAGGGCGACUGAAGCGGGAGUAGCUCAAGAUGUGAAUCUGCGUUCUGCGGCGCCGAAUUGUGGUCUAUAGGCGUGUGCGUUACCUGGCCGGGCCAAGUCCCUUGGAACAGGGCGGCUGAGAGGGUGAGACCCCCGUUCGCCUGGCCUUUGGAGCGCGCGUCGACGAGUCGAGUUGUUUGGGAUUGCAGCUCAAAGUGGGUGGUAAAUUCCAUCUAAAGCUAAAUACUGGUGGGAGACCGAUAGCGUACAAGUACCGUGAGGGAAAGAUGCAACAGAACUUUGAAAAGAGAGUUAAAGAGUACCUGAAAUUGCUGAAAAGGAAGCGAAGGAAACCAGUGUUAGCUGCGUCAUACUUCCCCGUUCGCUUGCGGUCGGGGCGCUGUGGCCAGCGUUGUCAGGCUUGGCUGGGUUGGGCGGAAAUGCGCGUAGGGAGAUUAGACCUGCGUGUGUCUGCGUUCGACUUGCCUGAGGUUGACGAAAUGGUUUUCUUUUUCCCGUCUUGAAACACGGACCAAGGAGUUUAACAUAUGUGCGAGUACAGGGGUGGCAAACCCCGGUUCGCAAUGAAAGUGACAGUGGCUGGACGCCAGCAAUGGUUGCACAGUCCGCCGGCCUCAAUCCUUCGGGAGAACGGUCUGAGUGUGAGCAUACAUGUUGAGACCCGAAAGAUGGUGAACUAUGCCUGAAUAGGGUGAAGCCAGGGGA
rnacentral:rRNA from 1 species